UACGAAGGGGGCUAGCGUUGCUCGGAAUCACUGGGCGUAAAGCGCACGUAGGCGGGUCUUUAAGUCGGAGGUGAAAUCCUGGAGCUCAACUCCAGAACUGCCUUCGAUACUGGAGAUCUUGAGUCCGGAAGAGGUAAGUGGAACUGCGAGUGUAGAGGUGAAAGUCGUAGAUAUUCGCAAGAACACCAGUGGCGAAGGCGGCUUACUGGUCCGGUACUGACGCUGAGGUGCGAAAGCGUGGGGAGCAAACAGG
rnacentral:rRNA from 1 species